CGCACGGGUGAGUAACACGUAUGCAACCUGCCUGCCACAGCCGGAUAAUCGGGAGAAAUUCCGUCUAAUACGGCAUAAUGCAUCGACGGGACAUCCUGUUGGUGCCAAAGGUUAAUUCCGGUGGCGGAUGGGCAUGCGUCGCAUUAGUUAGUUGGCGGUGUAACGGACCACCAAGACGACGACGCGUGGGGGUUCUGAGAGGAAGGUCCCCCACACUGGUACUGAGACACGGACCAGACUCCUACGGAAGGCAGCAG
rnacentral:rRNA from 1 species